rnacentral:rRNA from 1 species
UGGGCAACCUGCCCUGUACUGUGGAAUAAUCAUUGGAAACGAUGACUAAUACCGCAUGUGGUCCUCGGAAGGCAUCUUCUGAGGAAGAAAGGAUUUAUUCGGUACAGGAUGGGCCCGCAUCUGAUUAGCUAGUUGGUGAGAUAACAGCCCACCAAGGCGACGAUCAGUAGCCGACCUGAGAGGGUGAUCGGCCACAUUGGGACUGAGACACGGCCCGA